GCAAACUUGGUCAUUUAGAGGAAGUAAAAGUCGUAACAAGGUUUCCGUAGGUGAACCUGCGGAAGGAUCAUUAUUGAAUAAAUGGGCUGAUAGGUUGUUGCUGGCCUUUUUUUGGGAGGUAUGUGCACACUUGUCGUCUUUAUUUUUCCACCUGUGCACUGUUUGUAGGCCCUAGAGAAAAAAGCAAUUGUCUUGGUGAUUGGAUAGAUUGAGGACUGCUGUGUUGUAAAGAGGCCAGCUUUACCUUGUGUUCUCUAGGUGUUCUAUGUUUUUUCACACAUACUCCUAUGAAUGUAAUGGAAUGUUGACAAUAUUGGGCCUUUGUUGCCUACAGAAGUUAAAUACAACUUUCAGCAACGGAUCUCUUGGCUCUCGCAUCGAUGAAGAACGCAGC
rnacentral:misc_RNA from 1 species